rnacentral:rRNA from 1 species
UACGUAGGGGGCAAGCGUUGUCCGGAAUUAUUGGGCGUAAAGCGCGUGUAGGCGGUCCGGUAAGUCGGUUGUGAAAGUCCAGGGCUCAACCCUGGGAUGCCGAUCGAUACUGCCGGACUAGAGCCCGGAAGAGGCGAGUGGAAUUCCCGGUGUAGCGGUGAAAUGCGCAGAUAUCGGGAAGAACACCCGUGGCUAAGGCGGCUCUCUAGUACGGUACUGACGCUGAGACGCGAAAGCGUGGGGAGCGAACAGG